rnacentral:rRNA from 1 species
GACCCAGACUCCUACGGGAGGCAGCAGUGGGGAAUAUUGGGCAAUGGGCGCAAGCCUGACCCAGCAACGCCGCGUGAAGGAAGAAGGCUUUCGGGUUGUAAACUUCUUUUCUCUGGGACGAAGAAAGUGACGGUACCUGAGGAAUAAGCCACGGCUAACUACGUGCCAGCAGCCGCGGUAAUACGUAGGUGGCAAGCGUUAUCCGGAUUUACUGGGUGUAAAGGGCGUGUAGGCGGGAGUGCAAGUCAGGCGUGAAAACUAUGGGCUCAACCCAUAGCCUGCGUUUGAAACUGUCGUUCUUGAGUGAUGGAGAGGCAAGCGGAAUUCCGUGUGUAGCGGUGAAAUGCGUAGAUAUACGGAGGAACACCAGUGGCGAAGGCGGCUUGCUGGACAUUAACUGACGCUGAGGCGCGAAAGCGUGGGGAGCAAACAGGAUUAGAUACCCGUGUA